CGCCUCUUGCGAAUAAAAAUAUAGGAGGUCCCGCCUGCCCUGUGACUAUAAGUUUAACGGCCGCGGUAUUCUGACCGUGCGAAGGUAGCGCAAUCACUUGUCUUUUAAAUGGAGACCUGUAUGAAUGGCAUAACGAGGGCUUAACUGUCUCCUUUUCCCAGUCAAUGAAAUUGAUCUCCCCGUGCAGAAGCGGGGCUACGCCCAUAAGACGAGAAGACCCUAUGGAGCUUUAGACACCAAAGCAGACCAUGUACCCACUCUCCCACAAAGAGAAGAAGCAAAUGAUCCCCUGCCCUAGUGUCUUCGGUUGGGGCGACCGCGGAGAAAAAAGAAACCCCCGUACGGAAUAGGUACACUCAUACCCACAACCAAGAGCCACAGCUCUAACUACCAGAACUUCUGACCAACAGAUCCGGCAAUGCCGAUUAAUGGACCAAGUUACCCUAGGGAUAACAGCGCAAUCCCCUUUUAGAGCCCAUAUCGACAAGGGGGUUUACGACCUCGAUGUUGGAUCAGGACAUCCUAAUGGUGCAGCCGCUAUUAAGGGCUCGUUUGUUCAACGAUUAAAGUCCU
rnacentral:rRNA from 1 species